rnacentral:rRNA from 1 species
UACGGAGGGUGCAAGCGUUGUUCGGAUUUAUUGGGCGUAAAGCGCGUGUAGGCGGUUUCUUAAGUCUGAUGUGAAAGCCCUGGGCUCAACCCAGGAAGUGCAUUGGAUACUGGGAGACUUGAAUACGGGAGAGGGUAGUGGAAUUCCUAGUGUAGGAGUGAAAUCCGUAGAUAUUAGGAGGAACACCGGUGGCGAAGGCGGCUACCUGGGCCGAUAUUGACGCUGAGACGCGAAAGCGUGGGGAGCAAACAGG